rnacentral:rRNA from 1 species
GCUCGGAAUCUUGGGCAAUGGGCGAAAGCCUGACCCAGCGACACCGCGUGGGGGAAGAAGGCCUAUGGGCUGUAAACCCCUUUUCUGGGGGAAGAGGAAGGACGGUACCCCAGGAAUAAGCCCCGGCUAACUACGUGCCAGCAGCCGCGGUGAUACGUAGGGGGCGAGCGUUACCCGGAUUUACUGGGCGUAAAGAGCGCGUAGGCGGCUUGGUAAGUCCUUUGUGAAAUCUCCCGGCUCAACUGGGAGGGUGCAAGGGAAACUGUUAAACUUGAGGGCAGCAGAGGAGAGUGGAAUUCCCGGUGUAGCGGUGAUAUGCGUAGAUAUUGGGAAGAACUCCAGUGGCGAAGGCGGCUCUCUGGGCUGUUUCUGACGCUGAGGCGCGAAAGCGUGGGUAGCAAACCGA